CCCCCAUGUUCAGUCCUAACACAUGCUAGCCUGACCACUAUUUCAUGUCACAAGUGACAAUUCAGCCCCUAAAAACAAACACAUGUAUUUCUACCGCGUGUAGCAGCAGUUCUACCUCAGAUAUACCCCCUAUAUAUAUAUAUAUAUAUUUAAAAGUGCGUGAAAGAUUGAGAAGGAUGGACCUCGCUAUGACCACAGGAUGUGGCCACUGGCCCUCUGUCCCUCCCCCCCCCGCUCACUGUCAAAUGGGUCAAACGGCCCCAUUGAAGCAUUACACCAACCCCACCUGUGGGUCUGCACCCAGCGGGGGAUGUCCGGGUGCGAGGGCGGGCAGGGAGAGGGGGGUGGGAGAGAGGCUGGUCAGUGUAAAUCUCUCACCUGUUGCCUGGGGCAGCUCUUCCAGUACAGCCACACGUCGGACUCCAUGAACACAACAUCCAGGAACGCCCGCUUGCCGUCUGCGGAACGCACCCACAGCAAUAAGACACUUAAAGUGUGCAUACAAUGACAGACACCUAUUUCGUUUUUUUCUUAGAAAUUAUUUGUGCACAGUACAAAACCAUAAUCAAGCCACCAUCAGUUAAGUUAGACACGAGCCAAUUAUCAAACUCAUACAAACGAUACAAUUCAUCCAAGUUAUCUCUCCUCCGCUCGUUUGAACACACGCUAAACGGCCCGGGCGUGAUUGAACGACGGGAUUAAACAAACCCGGAACAACAACAAAGCAAUCGGGUAGCAAUAAAUCCCCGAGCGCGUGGGUCCAGGUGGGCUGACCUCCGUCUGAGUCCGCCUCAGAGCGCCUGACGGGGCGGCUCCACAGCGGGACGCGCCAGCCCGUCCUGCAGGUGAGCCUGGAGCCCCCGCUCUUCAGGAACAGGAGGAGGAGGAGGAGGAGGAGGAGGAGGAGGAGGAGGAGGAGGAGGAGGAGGAGGAGAGGUAAGGACAGCGGCAGAGGCAGAGCGAUGGGAGCUGUGGGGAGCACAGCAACACAACGGCUCCCCCACGACCAGUGGAGAACUUUCUCUGUCAUCCAUGGAUGCGUCGAUAUCCCAGGUAGAAUAUUCCAUUUCUG
rnacentral:lncRNA from 1 species